rnacentral:rRNA from 1 species
GACGAACGCUGGCGGCGGGCUUAACACAUGCAAGUCGAACGGAAAGGCCCUGCUUUUGCGUGGUGCUCGCGUGGCGAACGGGUGUGUAACACGUGAGUAUCCUGCCCUUGACGGUGGGAUAACUGCAGGAAACUGCGGCUAAUACCGGAUAGGAGCUCCUGCUGCAGGGUGGGGGUUGGAAAGCUUCGGCGGUUGGGGAUAGACUCCCGGCUAAUCAGCUUGUUGGUGGGGUAGUGGCUUACGAAGGGUUUGACGGGUAGCCGGCCCGGGAGGGUGGCCAGCGUCAAUAGGACUGCGAGACGGAGCAGAGUCCUACGGGAGGCAGCAGUCGGGAAUAUGGCACAAUGGGGGGAAGCGUGAUGAGGCAGCGCCCCGAGCGGGAUGACGGCCUUGUGGUUGUAAACCGCUUUAGGCUGUGACGAAGCGGGAGUGACGGUAAUAGCUAAAGAAGCACCGGCUAACUACGUG